GUGAGGAAUAUUGGUCAAUGGGCGGGAGCCUGAACCAGCCAAGUCGCGUGAAGGAAGAAGGAUCUAUGGUUCGUAAACUUCUUUUGCAGGGGAAUAAAGUGCAGGACGUGUCCUGUUUUGUAUGUACCCUGAGAAUAAGGAUCGGCUAACUCCGUGCCAGCAGCCGUGGUAAUACGGAGGAUCCGAGCGUUAUCCGGAUUUAUUGGGUUUAAAGGGUGCGUAGGUGGUUUGAUAAGUCAGCGGUGAAAGUUUGCAGCUUAACUGUAAAAAUGCCGGUGAAACUGUCGGACUUGAGUGUAAAUGAGGUAGGCGGAAUGCGUGGUGUAGCGGUGAAAUGCAUAGAUAUCACGCAGAACUCCGAUUGCGAAGGCAGCUUACUAAGCUACAACUGACACUGAAGCACGAAAGCGUGGGGAUCAAACAGGAUUAGAAACCCUUGUAGUCC
rnacentral:rRNA from 1 species